rnacentral:rRNA from 1 species
AGUGAACGCUGGCGGUAGGCCUAACACAUGCAAGUCGAACGGCAGCACAGUAAGAGCUUGCUCUUACGGGUGGCGAGUGGCGGACGGGUGAGGAAUACAUCGGAAUCUACUUUUUCGUGGGGGAUAACGUAGGGAAACUUACGCUAAUACCGCAUACGACCUACGGGUGAAAGCAGGGGAUCUUCGGACCUUGCGCGAUUGAAUGAGCCGAUGUCGGAUUAGCCAGUUGGCGGGGGAAAGGCCCACCAAGGCGACGAUCCGUAGAUGGUCUGAGAGGAUGAUCAGCCACACUGGAACUGAGACACGGUCCAGACUCCUACGGGAGGCAGCAGUGGGGAAUAUUGGACAAUGGGGGCAAGCCUGAUCCAGCCAUACCGCGUGGGUGAAGAAGGCCUUCGGGUUGUAAAGCCCUUUUGUUGGGAAAGAAAAGCAGCAGGUUAAUACCCCGCUGUUCUGACGGUACCCAAAGAAUAAGCACCGGCUAACUUCGUG